AGAGAAGGCCUGCUUCCAAGUCACCGCCAGAGGAUUUAAUGGUUCAACCCCAUUCCUUCCUGGCUGGAUUGUGUUUCCUCCUCACACAUUUUCGCAGUUACCGCCGCUUUCUUUGUUCCAUGCAAGUGAAUGGAGUGAAGAUCUGGGACUGAUGCUACCAUUGGCACACCCCAUCUUAGGCACUGUAGUGACCUGCCUCCCCUCCUUCUAAAGAGUUAAUUGGAAGUGGACCCCUGUCUUGACUGUUAAGCUGGUGAACUCCAGGGCAACCAAUCAGUGCACCAGCAGGUACAGCAAGAGAAGGCACUCAUCUAUAGCAUAUCAGCUUGGAUCUCCAUAUGUACCAACUCAAGACUACAUUUAAAACAUGGUGACUAUAAAGCUUAAAAACAACAGACGCUUGGAAAUAAUAUCUCUAUAGCAAAUAAAUUGCCAGAUAUCCAAAAAGCAAUGGGAAACGGAGUGAACCGAUACCUGUUUCCUAAUUACG